rnacentral:rRNA from 1 species
CCCUUAGAUGUUCUGGGCUGCACGCGCGCUACACUGAUACAUGCAACGAGUUUAUAACCUUGAUCUGACGGUCUGGGUAAUCUUCAAACUGUAUCGUGUUAGGGAUCGAUUCUUGCAAUUUUUAAUCGUAAACGAGGAAUUCCUAGUAAACGCAAGUCAUCAGCUUGCAUUGAUUACGUCCCUGCCCUUUGUACACACCGCCCGUCGACUCUACCGAUUGAAUGGUUCGGUGAAAACUUUGGACUGUGGCAUUGUCCUUCAUUGGACUUCGCCGUAGGAAAUUGUUUAAACCUCAUCAUUUAGAGGAAGAAUAAGUCGUAACA